rnacentral:rRNA from 1 species
GUGAAUGCUGGCGGUAUGGAUAAGGCAUGCAAGUCACGGGGGCCGCAAGGCAACCGGCAGACGAGGUAGUAACACGUAGGUACGUACCCCGAAGACUGGUAUAGCUCGCCGAAAGGCGGGGUAAUCCCAGAUAGUCUCGAAAGAGUAAAGCUCCGGCGCUUCGGGAGCGGCCUGCGUAAUAUCAGCUAGUUGGUGAGGUAAUGGCUCACCAAGGCUAUGACGUUUAGGGGACCUGAGAGGGUGACCCCCACCGAUGAAACUGAGACACGGUUCAUACCCCUACGGGGGGCCGCAGCCGAGAAUAUUCGACAAUGGGCGAAAGCCUGAUCGAGCGAUACCGCGUGGUGGAUGAAGCGCUUCGGCGCGUAAACACCUUUUAUGGAGGAGGAAGUUAUUGACGUUACUCCAUGAAUAAGGGGCUCCUAACUCUGU